rnacentral:lncRNA from 1 species
ACUUACAUGUGAAAAUCGGACAAUUUGUAAUAUGUUCUGUACAAUUUCGUACCAUCAUGGUAUAUUUUUCUCUUAUGUGAAACUGAAAAGUUGUUUAAAUAGUGAAAUCGACAUAUGCUAUCAGUCCUGCUUCAUUUGUUGCUGUCAAAGUUGUCUCUGCAGCAGUAUGUAGCUCCUCCAAAAACUUAUUUGUACAAACGAUAUAAUUUUAGCACAUUUUCAUAAUCUUUUCAUUCAUUACUGUAUAUUUCCCUACCGUGUAAACUGAAACAUUUUUCAAACAGGAUAGAAGUCAUAUUACAACAACCUUUCCUUCAAUUCAUACUUCGGGAUUAGUCUUUGCAGCAGUAUGUGGCUCCUUUUAUUUAGGAAUCAUACAUCUUUAGCACCAUUUUAGUACCCUCUUUAUUCAUCACUCUAGAUUUUCACUUCAUGUGAAAAUGAAAACAUAUUUGUAUAGCAUCUCCACAUAUUCAACUCACCUUUCCAUCAUUUCAAUCUUCAAGAGCAGUUACCGUUGCAUUAUAUACCUCACACAACGACUUACAUGUGAAAAUCGGACAACUUGUAAUAUUAUUCGUAUUGUUUCGGUCGAACAUGGUAUAUUUUCUCUUAUCU